GACAGAGGAUGCAAGCGUUAUCCGGAAUGAUUGGGCGUAAAGCGUGCGUAGGUGGUUUGUUAAGUCUGAUGUGAAAGCCCUGGGCUCAACCUGGGAAUUGCAUUGGAUACUGGCAGGCUAGAGUGCGGUAGAGGGUAGUGGAAUUCCCGGUGUAGCAGUGAAAUGCGUAGAUAUCGGGAGGAACACCAGUGGCGAAGGCGACUACCUGGACCAGCACUGACACUGAGGCACGAAAGCGUGGGGAGCAAACAGG
rnacentral:rRNA from 1 species